rnacentral:rRNA from 1 species
UACGUAGGGUGCAAGCGUUAAUCGGAGUUACUGGGCGUAAAGCGUGCGCAGGCGGUUAUAUAAGACAGUUGUGAAAUCCCCGGGCUCAACCUGGGAAUUGCAUCUGUGACUGUAUAGCUAGAGUACGGUAGAGGGGGAUGGAAUUCCGCGUGUAGCAGUGAAAUGCGUAGAUAUGCGGAGGAACACCGAUGGCGAAGGCAAUCCCCUGGACCUGUACUGACGCUCAUGCACGAAAGCGUGGGGAGCAAACAGGAUUAGAUACCCCGGUAGU